rnacentral:rRNA from 1 species
AACGAACGCUGGCGGCGUGCUUAACACAUGCAAGUCGAGCGAGAACGGGUCCUUCGGGGCCCUAGUACAGCGGCGCACGGGUGAGUAACACGUAGGUGAUCUACCUCUUGCUGGGGGAAUAACUCCGGGAAACCGAAGCUAAUUCCGCAUGCGUCUUCGGGGCUGCGGUCCUGAAGAGAAAGGUGGCCUCUUCAUGAAAGCUAUCGGCGAGAGAUGAGCCUGCGUCCCAUCAGCUAGUUGGUAGGGUAACGGCCUACCAAGGCUACGACGGGUAGCUGAUCUGAGAGGAUGAUCAGCCACACUGGAACUGAGACACGGUCCAGACUCCUACGGGAGGCAGCAGUGGGGAAUAUUGCGCAAUGGGCGAAAGCUUGACGCAGCAACGCCGCGUGAGUGAUGAAGGCCUUCGGGUCGUAAAGGCUCUGUCAGGAGGAGCGAACACCCGGCAGGGAACAAUAACCCUGUCGGUUUGACGGUACCUCCAGAGGAAGGCACCGGGA